rnacentral:rRNA from 1 species
GGAUCAUUACCGAGCUCCUGCCCUCUGGGUAGAGACGCCACCCGUGUGUACCAGACCGAUGUUGCUUUGGCGGGCCUCGCCCGCCAGAGACCCCAAACCCUAAGCGUGAGUGUCGUCGGAGAACUAUCUAAUAGUUAAAACUUUCAACAACGGAUCUCUUGGUUCUGGCAUCGAUGAAGAACGCAGCGAAAUGCGAUAAGUAAUGUGAAUUGCAGAAUUCAGUGAAUCAUCGAAUCUUUGAACGCACAUUGCGCCCCUCGGUAUUCCGGGGGGCAUGCCUGUUCGAGCGUCAUAAUAGCCCAUCCAGCCCUGCUGGGUCUUGGGCCCGCCGGCCGGCGGGCCCCAAAGCCAGUGGCGGUGCCGCCUGGUGCCUAAGCGUAGUACAACCCUCGCUAUAGGCCCCAGGCGCGCGCCCGCCAGCAACCCCUUCUACGGUUGACCUCGGAUCAGGUAGGGAUACCCGCUGAACUUAAGCAUAUCAAUAAGCGGAGGAAAAGAAACCAACAGGGAUUACCUCAGUAACGGCGAGUGAAGCGGUAACAGCUCAAAUUUGAAAUCGGGCUCCGUCCGGGGCCCGAGUUGUAAUUUGUAGAAGAUGCUUUGGGUGCGGCCGUGGCCUAAGUCCCUUGGAACAGGGCGUCAUAGAGGGUGAGAAUCCCGUCUGCGGCCGGCGGCCUGCGCCCGUGUAAAGCUCUUUCGACGAGUCGAGUUGUUUGGGAAUGCAGCUCAAAAUGGGUGGUAAAUUUCAUCUAAAGCUAAAUAUGGGCCAGAGACCGAUAGCGCACAAGUAGAGUGAUCGAAAGAUGAAAAGCACUUUGGAAAGAGAGUUAAACAGUACGUGAAAUUGUUGAAAGGGAAGCGCUUGCAGCCAGACUCGCGGGCCGCCGCUCCCUCGGGGUUCUCCCCGGGGCAUUCGGCGGCUCACGGGCCAGCAUCGGUUCGGGCGGCUGGACAAAGGCCGCGGGAAUGUGGCCCCCCUCGGGGGGUGUUAUAGCCCGCGGUGUAAUGCAGCCUGCCGGGACCGAGGACCGCGCUUCGGCUAGGAUGCUGGCGUAAUGGCUGUAAGCGACCCGUCUUGAAACACGGACCAAGGAGUCUAACAUCUAUGCGAGUGUUUGGGUGCUAAACCCAUACGCGGAAUGAAAGUGAACGGAGGUGAGAGCCCGUAUGGGUGCAUCAUCGACCGAUCCUGAUGUCUUCGGAUGGAUUUGAGUAAGAGCAUAGCCGUUGGGACCCGAAAGAUGGUGAACUAUGCCUAAAUAGGGUGAAGUCAGAGGAAACUCUGAUGGAGGCUCGCAGCGAUUCUGACGUGCAAAUCGAUCGUCAAAUUUGGGUAUAGGGGCGAAAGACUAAUCGAACC